rnacentral:rRNA from 1 species
CCUACGGGAGGCAGCAGUGGGGAAUAUUGGACAAUGGGCGAAAGCCUGAUCCAGCCAUGCCGCGUGUGUGAAGAAGGCCUUCGGGUUGUAAAGCACUUUCAGUGGGGAAGAAAGCCUUGGGGCUAAUACCCUCGAGGAAGGACAUCACCCACAGAAGAAGCACCGGCUAACUCCGUGCCAGCAGCCGCGGUAAUACGGAGGGUGCGAGCGUUAAUCGGAAUUACUGGGCGUAAAGCGCGCGUAGGCGGUCUGAUAAGCCGGUUGUGAAAGCCCCGGGCUCAACCUGGGAACGGCAUCCGGAACUGUCAGGCUAGAGUGCAGGAGAGGAAGGUAGAAUUCCCGGUGUAGCGGUGAAAUGCGUAGAGAUCGGGAGGAAUACCAGUGGCGAAGGCGGCCUUCUGGACUGACACUGACGCUGAGGUGCGAAAGCGUGGGUAGCAAACAGGACUAGAUACCCCGGUAGUC